GAGGGUGUAGCUCAGAGGUAGAGCACAUGUUUAGCAUGCAAGAAGUCCUGGAUCCAAUCCCCAGUACCUCCA
rfam:Camelus ferus unplaced genomic scaffold scaffold1410, whole genome shotgun sequence.